AUUGAACGCUGGCGGCAGGCCUAACACAUGCAAGUCGAGCGGAUGAAGGGAGCUUGCUCCUGGAUUCAGCGGCGGACGGGUGAGUAAUGCCUAGGAAUCUGCCUGGUAGUGGGGGAUAACGUCCGGAAACGGGCGCUAAUACCGCAUACGUCCUGAGGGAGAAAGUGGGGGAUCUUCGGACCUCACGCUAUCAGAUGAGCCUAGGUCGGAUUAGCUAGUUGGUGGGGUAAAGGCCUACCAAGGCGACGAUCCGUAACUGGUCUGAGAGGAUGAUCAGUCACACUGGAACUGAGACACAGUCCAGACUCCUACGGGAGGCAGCAGUGGGGAAUAUUGGACAAUGGGCGAAAGCCUGAUCCAGCCAUGCCGCGUUUGUGAAGAAGGUCUUCGGAUUGUAAAGCACUUUAAGUUGGGAGGAAGGGCAGUAAGUUAAUACCUUGCUGUUUUGACGUUACCAACAGAAUAAGCACCGGCUAACUUCGUG
rnacentral:rRNA from 1 species